AACGAACGCUGGCGGCGUGCCUAACACAUGCAAGUCGAACGAGAAAGGGAUUUCGGUCCUGAGUAAAGUGGCGCACGGGUGAGUAACACGUAGGUAACCUGCCUCCAAGAUUGGGAUAACCUGUCGAAAGACGGGCUAAUACCGAAUAAGACAACAGCUCCUUCGGGAGCAGGGGUCAAAGGUAGCCUCUCCUUGUAAGCUAUCCCUUGGAGAUGGGCCUGCGCACCAUUAGCUAGUUGGUGGGGUAACGGCCUACCAGGGCAAAGAUGGUUAGCUGGUCUGAGAGGAUGAUCAGCCACACUGGAACUGAGACACGGUCCAGACUCCUACGGGAGGCAGCAGUGGGGAAGAUUGCGCAAUGGGCGAAAGCCUGACGCAGCAACGCCGCGUGAGUGAUGAAGGCCUUCGGGUCGUAAGGCUCUGUCGGAGGGAACGAAUGCUCUCGAGGUUAAUAGCCUCGGGAAGUGACGGUACCUUCAAAGGAAGCACCGGCUAACUCUGUGCCAGCCGCCGCCGUAAAAC
rnacentral:rRNA from 1 species